rnacentral:rRNA from 1 species
UACGUAGGGGGCGAGCGUUGUCCGGAUUUACUGGGCGUAAAGCGCGUGUAGGCGGGGGAGCAAGUCGGACGUGAAAGGCUUCGGCUCAACCGGAGACGGUCGUUCGAAACUGCUCCUCUUGAGGGUCGAAGAGGAGAGUGGAAUUCCCGGUGUAGCGGUGAAAUGCGUAGAGAUCGGGAGGAACACCCGUGGCGAAGGCGGCUCUCUGGUCGGCUACUGACGCUGAGACGCGAAAGCGUGGGGAGCGAACGGG